ACACUCCAAGGCUGGUCAUUUACUCCCUUUGGCCGAAAAUGUGAAGAGAGAAAAGAGAGAAACUUUCAUGACCCUUUAAUCUUCAAAGCUUGAUUUCUUCUUAACUAAAACUCAAAUCAAAACUCCGAUUUCACCAAAAUGAUCCUCUCUUCUUCCUCUACAUAACCAUGUGACUUAUCAAGGCUGGAAAUAAGGAAUCAUGCUUAACUUGACUUGAGGGCCAAGAAACGUGAAUUUUCAGCAAGUAUAAGGAGGAAAAAGUGCUUAAGGACCACCUGAAAAUCUAACUGAAUUAGGAGCAGCAAAACCAGGUAGGGUUUGACGAAUUUAAUCUUGAUUGAUUGUGUUUGAGUUGUGUGAUUAUGAUAUGGUUUGGCUGUGCUUGAAAUUGAU